rnacentral:sRNA from 1 species
ACUAAACCCGCGUUAGGGAUUGUAGUGAAAAUCCUUUUGUGCAGCUAGCGGAACAAAAGAUUGUAACGAAAAGCCCGACCCGAA